rnacentral:rRNA from 1 species
GAUGAACGCUGGCGGCGUGCUUAACACAUGCAAGUCGAACGGAAAGGCUCCUGCUUUCCGGGGUACUCGAGUGGCGAACGGGUGAGUAACACGCGUGUGUUCUGCCCUGCACUUCGGGAUAAGCCUGGGGAACUGGGGCUAAUACCGGAUAGGAUGUUGGUUUGGAUGUCAUUGUGGAAAGAUGUUCGGUUUGGGAUGAGCUCGCGGCCUAUCAGCUUGUUGGUGGGGUAAUGGCUUACCAAGGCGUCGACGGGUAGCCGGCCUGGGAGGGUGUACGGCCACAUUGGGACUGAGAUACGGCGCAGACGCCUACGGGAGGCAGCAGUGGGGAAUAUUGCACAAUGGGCGCAAGCCUGAUGCAGCGACGCCGCGUGCGGGAUGACGGCCUUCGGGUUGUAAACAACUUUCGCUGGGGACGAAGCGCAAGUGACGGUACCUGGAGAAGAAGCACCGGCUAACUACGUG